AACGAACGCUGGCGGCAUGCCUAACACAUGCAAGUCGAACGAGACCUUCGGGUCUAGUGGCGCACGGGUGCGUAACGCGUGGGAACCUGCCCUUAGGUUCGGAAUAACUCCCCGAAAGGGGUGCUAAUACCGGAUAAUGACUUCGGACCAAAGAUUUAUCGCCUUUGGAUGGGCCCGCGUUGGAUUAGCUAGUUGGUAGGGUAAAAGCCUACCAAGGCGACGAUCCAUAGCUGGUCUGAGAGGAUGAUCAGCCACACUGGGACUGAGACACGGCCCAGACUCCUACGGGAGGCAGCAGUGGGGAAUAUUGGACAAUGGGCGAAAGCCUGAUCCAGCAAUGCCGCGUGAGUGAUGAAGGCCUUAGGGUUGUAAAGCUCUUUUACCCGGGAUGAUAAUGACAGUACCGGGAGAAUAAGCGCCGGCUAACUCCGUG
rnacentral:rRNA from 1 species